rnacentral:miRNA from 1 species
GUGUGUGUGUGUGUGUGUGUGUGUGUGUGUGUGUGUGUGUGUGUAGGACACUCUCAAAUACACAUACACACCCACACACUC